rnacentral:ncRNA from 1 species
UACCGAAAGGUAUUGGUAACCCCUUUGAAAAUCCUCCGUGAUCGGGAUCGGGAAUUGCAAUUAUUUCCCUUGAACGAGGAAUUCCUAGUGUGAUUGCUCAAAAAUCAGCUCACGUUGAUUACGUCCCUGCCCUUUGUACAAACCGCCCGUCGCUGCCCGGGAUUGAGCCGUUUCGAGAAAAGCGGAGACUGCUGUUUUGAUAUCUUUCAAGGGUAGAGAUUCUUUGGUGGAAACUGCUUUAAUCGCAGUGGCUUGAACCGGGCAAAAGUCGUAACAAGCUAGAUAUGCUACCAAUA